AUAAAUUUUCCUCUUAGAACUGCUUUUGAUGCAUCCCACAAGUUUUUGUAUGUUGUGUUUCCAUUAUUGUUUUUGUCUUUUUAAAAUAUGCUUCUGGUCCCUUUGUUCUCACUUUUCCUUCUGGAAUUACUGUUAUGUGGUAAUUAGGUCUCUUGAUAGUGUCCCAGAGUUCUCAUACCAUAUAAUUACAUGGAAAUUAAAGAACAUGCUCCUGAAUGACUUUUGGGUAAACAAUAAAAUUAAGCAAGAAAUAAAGAAAUUCUUUGAAAGUAGUAAGAACAAAGAUAUAACAUACCAGAAUCUCUGGGAGACAGCUAAAGCAGUGCUAAGAGGGAAAUUUAUAGUGCUAAACACCCACAUCAAAAAGUUAGAAAGAUCUCAAAUUAACAACCUAACAUCAAACCUAGAGGAACUAGAGAAACAAGAACAAAUCAACCCCAAAGCUAGCAAAAGACAAGAAAUAACAAAAAUCCGAGAUGAACUGAAGGAAAUGGAGACACAAAAGAACCAUACAAAAGAUCAAGGAAUCCAGCACUUGGUUCCUUGGAAGAAUAAUACUAUUUGUAGACCACUAGAGACUACUAUGGACACCUCUAUACACAAAAACUAGAAAACCUAGAAUAAAUGAAUAAAUUCCUUGAAACAUUCCACCUCCCAAGAUGGAACCAGGAAGAAACUGAAUUGCUGAACAGACCAGUAAUGAGUUCCAAAGUUGAAUUAGUAAUAAAAAGUCUAUCAACGCCUCCCCCCCCAAAAAAAAAGCCCAGGACCAGAUGAAUUCACAGCCAAAUUUUACCAGUUGUAUAAAGAAUUGCUGGUGGCUGGGUGUGGUGGCUCAUGCCUGUAAUCCCAGCACUUUGGGAGGCCAAGGCAUGUGGAUCACAAGGUCAAGAGAUCAAGACCAUCCUGGCCAACAUAGCGAAACCCUGUCUCUACUAAAAAUACAAAAAAAAAAAAAAAAUUAGCUGGACAUGAUGGCGUGUGCCUGUAGUCCCAGCUACUUGGGAGGCUGAGGCAGGAGAAUCGCUUGAACCUGGGAGUCGGAGGUUGCAGUGAGCUAAGAUCCCUAUCAGUAUUAUGCCUAUUCCCUAGGUGAUGAAAUAAUUUGUACACCAAACCUCCAUGACACAAAAUUUACCUCUAUAACAAGCCUGCACGUGUACCCCAAACGUAAAAUAAAAGUUUAAAAAAAGAUUAUUGGAAAUUUCCAUUUGCAAUUUUGAAUUUAUUUGUUCCUCCCUUCAGUUCUGUCAGAUUUUGCAUCAUGUAUCUUGAAAAUCUGUUGUUUGAGGUUUACACGUUUGGAAGUCUUAUGUCUUCUUAGUGAAUUGAUCCUUUUAUCAUUAUGUAAUGUCAAUUUUUAUCCUUUGUAAUUUUUCUUGUUCCUAAGUUUACUUUGAUAUGAAUAUAGAAUUUUUGUGCCAUGAAUAGAUAAAAAGAAAUUUUAAAAAAUAUUAUUCUAUAUUACAUAAUCUUAAAUUUGUGUUUUGUGUAUGUUAUACCAUGUAUGUAAUACUUAAGUACAAUAGUGGUUGUAUAAUAUAUGUAAAAUAUAAUAUAUAUGUAUAAUAGUGCUUGCGGGCAUAUUAUUUAAAAGUUUGGAGGCCAUUUUUCUAAACUUUCAUUCCUCAAACUGUACUAUAACUUACACUGUUUUCACAGAAUGUAAAUAGAUAUAUUAUUAAUAAAUUAAUAAUGAAGGGUUUAAUCACCUUGAAAGGAUGCAAAAUACUAGAUUAAGCAAAACUGAACAUUUUUUUGCUGCAUGACUUUUUGGAGCCUUUGAUAUGCUAGUAUAUGUGGUGACCCUCCAAGACGGGCUACAAUAUACAAUGUUGUCCAAGUUUCAGUUCUUGGAAGAGCUUUGUUAGCUUUAUUUUGUGAUCACCCUGUGUGCCUCAUGGUGGUCAGACUUGUGGGAAAAAUGUCACAUUUGGCUCCUUCUGUGUUUGUAACAUCUUGUUAGUAUCAAGUCACCAGUAUGUCUUUCUUUAUCAUAAAUAAAGAGCAGCUUUAUUUUAUGUUUGUGAAAUAAGUGAAAUUGCAUUAUGCAGCUGAUCAAAUUCUGACCAGAUUGGAGUAUGAAUUCGUUUUUCCUAAAUUAAUCUAAAAUAAAUCUAAAACAAUACCAAAAUAGCACUUUAUUUGAAUGUCUAACCAAAUAAUGUGAUAACUAUGUAUGUCUAGCUUGUGAAUGACAUUUUCAUCAAAAAA
rnacentral:lncRNA from 1 species